ensembl:lncRNA
CUGAAAGAUUUUUAUACUGCUUCAAGCAGUGUCACCUUUUCCCAGUUUGUAUACACAGCAUAUUUAGUUCCUGUAUGUGGGGAAAUAUAUGACCUGACUUAUGAUAUAUCUAAAUUGGUAUACUUUAUUAUAAGAUUCUAACAAGUGACUAUAUUAUACACAUAUGCAAUCAUAUAUAUGCAUCCAUAUAAGGUUAUGCUAUUUUAAAUAGUUAUAAUUAGCUUUAAGAAAUUCUGAAGAGUAAAAUACUAAAAAUACUGAGGAAAUCAAGUGGGCAAUUUUUAUUUGGAAUAUUAUUUUCUUGCUCCCCUUUUCAAAUGGACUUAGUAUAGGCUUUUAUUAUCAGAAAGUUCUCCAAGCACAUUUAAAAUGUUAUGCAAUUUGGAGUUCUCAUUGUGGCUCAGUGGUUAACGAACCCGACUAGCAUCCGUGAGGACGCCUGUUCUAUCCCUGGCCUCCCUUAGUGGGUUGAGGAUCUGGCAUUGCCAUGAGCUGUGGUGUAGGUCGCAGAUGGGGCUCAGAUCCUGCAUUGCUGUGGCUGUGGUGUAGGCUGGGUGGCUACAGCUCCAAUUUGACUCCUAGCCUGGGAACCUCCAUUUGCCAUGGGUGUGGCCCUAAAAGACAAAAAGACAAAAAAAAAAUUAUGCAAUUUACAAAAUAAAAUUAAUAUGUUUUUACCCUAAAUUAUGUAAAAAUUAUAUCUGUAAAAGACUGAAUAACUGCAACAAAUUAUGUCAACAGAGAAGGUUUUAUGGCAGUUAACAGGUAGCUUUAAAAAAGAUUGAUGAUUCAGUAGCAUUCCUAACUAUUAUUUUUGAAAGAGUUUUAGACAAUUUAACAAGCAUUUUCAAAGGUAAUUGUUACUGUUGUUAUUUUUAGAAACAUGGCAGUCUUAAGUACCAGUUUGUUCUGCUAUCUACGUAUUUGCCUAAUUUCUGCAAAUGAUGAUAUUUAUCUGUCCUCACAGGAGCUGUCCUUUGGCAGCCUGCUGGGAUUUCCUUCAAGAGGAGGAGAGGAAGGGAAACACUUGUCCAGGAUAAAGCCUAGCUCCCUAUAUAUCCGUUCCUCUAUGUGGAUCAAAUCCAGUGGAUCAGAUGGAUCUGGGAAAGGCAUUCUUCUCAGAUGGGUCUCUGCACAAUCGGUGGAACUUGGUAUGGUCUUUCAUCC